rnacentral:rRNA from 1 species
UAGUUUGAUCCUGGCUCAGGAAAGUCGUAACAAGGUAACCGUAAGUCGUAACAAGGUAACCGUAAGUCGUAACAGGGUAACUAUAGAGUUUAAUCAUGGUUCAGGAAAGUCGUAACAAGGUAACCGUAGAGUUUGAUCCUGGCUCAGGAAAGUCGUAACAAGGUAACCGUAAGUCGUAACAAGGUAACCGUUAGAGUUUGAUCAUGGCUCAGCCUUUGACUU